rnacentral:rRNA from 1 species
AGAGUUUGAUCAUGGCUCAGAACGAACGCUGGCGGCAUGCCUAACACAUGCAAGUCGAACGAUGCUUUCGGGCAUAGUGGCGCACGGGUGCGUAACGCGUGGGAAUCUGCCCCUUGGUUCGGAAUAACAGUUAGAAAUGACUGCUAAUACCGGAUGACGACGUAAGUCCAAAGAUUUAUCGCCGAGGGAUGAGCCCGCGUAGGAUUAGCUAGUUGGUGUGGUAAAGGCGCACCAAGGCGACGAUCCUUAGCUGGUCUGAGAGGAUGAUCAGCCACACUGGGACUGAGACACGGCCCAGACUCCUACGGGAGGCAGCAGUGGGGAAUAUUGGACAAUGGGCGCAAGCCUGAUCCAGCAAUGCCGCGUGAGUGAUGAAGGCCUUAGGGUUGUAAAGCUCUUUUACCCGUGAUGAUAAUGACAGUAGCGGGAGAAUAAGCCCCGGCUAACUCCGUG